CAGGGAUGACAGGGGUCUCAGCGGUGAGGUCGGAGCGGCACAGCUGGAUGCAGUCCUGCAGGAGACGAGGAGAUGAGGAGACGAGGCGGACGAGGGGAUUCAAACCUGCCCGCUGAGGUGUCCAGUUACAGCAGCUCGUCUUUGUGUGGGUGUGACGGAUCUGCAGAGGAUUAAAGUGAUUGAAGCGUGCAAAGCUGAUCGAGAGCUUCAGUGAUUCACAGUCAAGUCAUUUCUGUUAAAGGACGCUUUUCUUCUAAUGGAGCAAAACGAGAAACAUCAGGGGUGAGCAGAAUUAGACAUGACGACAGUUUACAGAAUCUCCAUGAACAGGAUGAAAUGUUACACAAAGAAGAAGAAGAAGAAGAAGUGAGAGGAAAACACUUGCUGGGUGUGUAUGCGUCUCACAGAAGAUCAACCAAAGUAUCAAAGACAACAGAAUAAGAGUAACAGCCUCUCUUCACGUAUGAAGAUUUCACCAGUUUCUCACUCGUCCAUCCCGAGCCGCUCGUCGCUGCUGCGUCCUCACAUCAGAUCAUCCUGACUUGAUAAUCGAUAAAAUAGGAAUUAAAAAUGCUUUCACACAUUCAGCUCACAGUCACUUGAUGUUUUAGGAGUGCACUGUGUGUGUGUGUGUGUGUGUGUGUGAGAGAGAGAAGAUCUAACAAAAUGACUGACAGAACCGAAAAAGAAAUCUGAAAAUAGAUUGAAUAGAAAAAGGUGUGCAGGCGUGUGUGUUUCAUUAAGAUCUUCUGAUGUGUUCCUUCCAUCUGUUUAGCUUUGAGAUAAAUCUCACACUCAUCGCCCCCGUCUAAUAUUACAUUACCUUAAACUUGCUCCUGUAGUUUUAUUUUCCUGGGGGGUGGCGGCAGCAACUUUUUAUGGAGCAGAGAGUAUACUAGCAAAUGAAGAGACAUGAAAGUGCCACUUCAAAUGGGUUGAAAGUGAAAGAAGCUGCUGAUUUUGCAGAUGCAACAUCAGCCACACUAAACGAUACAUCCCUGCAGAAUGUAAAAAAAAUAAAUAAAAAAAAAGCCUCUUGUAUGUAGAUGUGAGAAAAAGAAAGGCAGAAAGCUCACCUGUCCCAUGUUAGAGGACUGGAGGUUACAUAAGGCUGUCAGUUUAGCUACUUUUUUACUACUACUGCUGUGUGAUUCAUUCAUGUUUGGACAAAAAGAGUGAUUAACAUCAUUGAAGUACCAUGAAAUAAAGAUUGAACCAUGUUAA